AUGGACAUGAUGGCCCCUGCUCAGCUGCUUGGGCUUCUGCUGCUCUGUCUUCCAGGUGCCAGAUGUGACAUCCAGAUGACCCAGUCUCCAACUUCCCUGUCUGCAUCUCUGGGUGACAGAGUCACCAUCACUUGCAGGGCCAGUCAGGGCAUUAGCAAUUAUUUAAGCUGGUACCAGCAAAAACCAGGAAAAUCUCCUAAGCGCCUGAUUUACGGUGCAUCCAACUUGGCAGACAGUGUCCCAUCAAGGUUCAGUGGCAGUGGGUCUGGGACAGAUUAUUCUCUCAGCAUCAGCAGCCUGGGUUCUGAAGACAGUGCAACCUAUUACUGUCUACAGUCUGUUCAGUAUCCUCCCACGGUGAUACAAGCCAUAACAUAA